rnacentral:rRNA from 1 species
GUGGAUGCCUUGACUGUAAGAGGCGAUGAAGGACGUAUUAGGCUGCGAUAAGCCUCGGGGAGCUGCCAAAGAGCUUUGAUCCGAGGAUUUCCGAAUGGGGCAACCCAGCAUAUAGAGAUAUAUGUUACCCUACGGGGAGCGAACCUGGUGAAGUGAAACAUCUCAGUAGCCAGAGGAAGAGAAAUCAAAUGAGAUUCCCAUAGUAGCGGCGAGCGAACUGGGAUUAGGACAAACCCAAUGCUUGCAUUGGGGGUUGUAGGACUAUAAUGUGUAAUUAAAGAGGAUAGAUGAAUUAGUUGGAAAACUAGAGCAUAGAAGGUGAUACUCCUGUAAUUAAAAUUCUCAAUAAUACUAAUAGUAUCCUGAGUAGGUCGGAACACGUGAUAUUUUGACUGAAGCUGGGGGGACCACCCUCCAAUCCUAAAUACUACUUACAGAUCGAUAGUG